ACAAUGCAGUCGAACGGCAGCGCGGGAGCAAUCCUGGCGGCGAGUGGCGAACGGGUGAGUAAUACAUCGGAACGUGCCCAAUCGUGGGGGAUAACGCAGCGAAAGCUGUGCUAAUACCGCAUAAGAUCUACGGAUGAAAGCAGGGGAUCGCAAGACCUUGCGCGAAUGGAGCGGCCGAUGGCAGAUUAGGUAGUUGGUGAGGUAAAGGCUCACCAAGCCUUCGAUCUGUAGCUGGUCUGAGAGGACGACCAGCCACACUGGGACUGAGACACGGCCCAGACUCCUACGGGAGGCAGCAGUGGGGAAUUUUGGACAAUGGGCGCAAGCCUGAUCCAGCCAUGCCGCGUGCAGGAUGAAGGCCUUCGGGUUGUAAACUGCUUUUGUACGGAACGAAAAGUCUCUUUCUAAUAAAGAGGGAUCAUGACGGUACCGUAAGAAUAAGCACCGGCUAACUACGUGCCAGCAGCCGCGGUAAUACGUAGGGUGCAAGCGUUAAUCGGAAUUACUGGGCGUAAAGCGUGCGCAGGCGGUUAUGUAAGACAGUUGUGAAAUCCCCGGGCUCAACCUGGGAACUGCAUCUGUGACUGCAUAGCUAGAGUACGGUAGAGGGGGAUGGAAUUCCGCGUGUAGCAGUGAAAUGCGUAGAUAUGCGGAGGGACACCGAUGGCGAAGGCAAUCCCCUGGACCUGUACUGACGCUCAUGCACGAAAGCGUGGGGAGCAAACAGGAUUAGAUACCCUGGUAGUCCACGCCCUAAACGAUGUCAACUGGUUGUUGGGUCUUCACUGACUCAGUAACGAAGCUAACGCGUGAAGUUGACCGCCUGGGGAGUACGCCGCA
rnacentral:rRNA from 1 species